GCAGACCAUCCUACGGGAGGCAGCAGUGGGGAAUAUUGCACAAUGGGCGCAAGCCUGAUGCAGCCAUGCCGCGUGUAUGAAGAAGGCCUUCGGGUUGUAAAGUACUUUCAGCAGUGAGGAAGGUGGAUAUGUUAAUAGCAUAUUCAUUUGACGUUAGCUGCAGAAGAAGCACCGGCUAACUCCGUGCCAGCAGCCGCGGUAAUACGGAGGGUGCGAGCGUUAAUCGGAAUUACUGGGCGUAAAGCGCAUGCAGGUGGUUUGUUAAGUCAGAUGUGAAAGCCCGGGGCUCAACCUCGGAAUUGCAUUUGAAACUGGCAAACUAGAGUACUGUAGAGGGGGUAGAAUUUCAGGUGUAGCGGUGAAAUGCGUAGAGAUCUGAAGGAAUACCGGUGGCGAAGGCGGCCCCCUGGACAGAUACUGACACUCAGAUGCGAAAGCGUGGGGAGCAAACAGGAUUAGAUACCCUGGUAG
rnacentral:rRNA from 1 species